rnacentral:rRNA from 1 species
GAUGAACGCUGGCGGCGUGCUUAACACAUGCAAGUCGAACGGGAAUUACUUUAUUGAAACUUCGGUCGAUUUAAUUUAAUUCUAGUGGCGGACGGGUGAGUAACGCGUGGGUAACCUGCCUUAUACAGGGGGAUAACAGUCAGAAAUGACUGCUCAUACCGCAUAAGCGCACAGAGCUGCAUGGCUCAGUGUGAAAAACUCCGGUGGUAUAAGAUGGACCCGCGUUGGAUUAGCUGGUUGGUGAGGUAACGGCCCACCAAGGCGACGAUCCAUAGCCGGCCUGAGAGGGUGAACGGCCACAUUGGGACUGCGACACGGCCCAGACUCCUACGGGAGGCAGCAGUGGGGAAUAUUGCACAAUGGGGGAAACCCUGAUGCAGCGACGCCGCGUGAAGGAAGAAGUAUCUCGGUAUGUAAACUUCUAUCAGCAGGGAAGAGCUUGACGGUACCUGACUAAGAAGCCCCGGCUAACUACGUGCCAGCCGCCGCUGUAAGAC